UGGGGAAUAUUGGACAAUGGGGGGAACCCUGAUCCAGCCAUGCCGCGUGUGUGAAGAAGGCCUUAUGGUUGUAAAGCACUUUAAGCGAGGAGGAGGGUACUGGUAUUAAUACUACCAGGUACUGGACGUUACUCGCAGAAUAAGCACCGGCUAACUCUGUGCCAGCAGCCGCGGUAAUACAGAGGGUGCGAGCGUUAAUCGGAUUUACUGGGCGUAAAGCGUGCGUAGGCGGCUAAUUGAGUCGGAUGUGAAAUCCCCGAGCUUAACUUGGGAAUUGCAUUCGAUACUGGUUAGGUAGAGUGUGGGAGAGGAUGGUAGAAUUCCAGGUGUAGCGGUGAAAUGCGUAGAGAUCUGGAGGAAUACCGAUGGCGAAGGCAGCCAUCUGGCCUAACACUGACGCUGAGGUACGAAAGCAUGGGGAGCAAACAGG
rnacentral:rRNA from 1 species